CAGCCGCCGCGGUAAUACAGAGGGUGCAAGCGUUAAUCGGAAUUAUUGGGCGUAAAGGGUGCGUAGGUGGUCAUUUAAGUCAGAUGUGAAAUCCCAGGGCUUAACCUUGGAAUUGCAUUUGAUACUGGGUGGCUAGAGUACAGAAGAGGGAAGUGGAAUUUCCGGUGUAGCGGUGAAAUGCGUAGAUAUCGGAAGGAACAUCAGUGGCGAAGGCGACUUCCUGGUCUGUAACUGACACUGAGGCACGAAAGCGUGGGGAGCAAACAGGAUUAGAUACCCCUGUAGUCCCUGUCUCUUAUAA
rnacentral:rRNA from 1 species